rnacentral:ncRNA from 1 species
AACAGCUAACUCAGAACUGGAGCGGACAAGGGGAAUCCGACUGUUUAAUUAAAACAAAGCAUUGCGAUGGGCGCAAACGGUGCUGACGCAAUGUGAUUUCAUGACGGAAGCAAAUACUGCACCCAAAACUUGGUGCCACUCGGGCAAGCGUGUCGUUCGCUUCGGCACUUUAUUUACGCGACAAGGAGACGGCCCAAUACACGAUGGGCGCAGCAGAGCUAGGCUGCCGUUGGCGGGCAGUUGAGGGGAAAGGGCAAAGCGGCCUUGUCCUGAGAAAGGUGCGAAUGGCGAUAGACACAGGAGGUACGCACUACAAACACCUGGAGAGAAGACACAUGCGCUAGCUGUAUAUAUGCGACGAAUAGGGAACGCGUUGCAGACGUCAACGGCGGAGA